GACGAACGCUGGCGGCGUGCUUAACACAUGCAAGUCGAGCGAUGAAGUUCCUUCGGGAACGGAUUAGCGGCGGACGGGUGAGUAACACGUGGGUAACCUGCCUCAUAGAGGGGAAUAGCCUUUCGAAAGGAAGAUUAAUACCCCAUAAGAUUGUAGUACCGCAUGGUAUAGCAAUUAAAGGAGUAAUCCGCUAUGAGAUGGACCCGCGUCGCAUUAGCUAGUUGGUGAGGUAACGGCUCACCAAGGCGAGGAUGCGUAGCCGACCUGAGAGGGUGCUCGGCCACAUUUGGACUGAGACACGGCCCAGACUCCUACGGGAGGCAGCAGUGGGGAAUAUUGCACAAUGGGGGAAGCCCUGAUGCAGCAACGCCGCGUGAGUGAUGACGGUCUUCGGAUUGUAAAACUCUGUCUUCAGGGACGAUAAUGACGGUACCUGAGGAGGAAGCCACGGCUAACUACGUGCCAGCCGCCGCCGUAA
rnacentral:rRNA from 1 species